GUGCCAGCAGCCGCGGUAAUACCGGCAGCCCGAGUGAUGACCGAUCUUAUUGGGCCUAAAGCGUCCGUAGCUGGCUACGCAAGUCCGUCGGGAAAUCCACUCGCCCAACGAGUGGGCAUCCGACGGAAACUGCAUAGCUUGGGACCGGAAGGCUCGAAGGGUACGUGCGGGGUAGGAGUGAAAUCCCAUAAUCCCGCACGGACCACCGAUGGCGAAAGCACUUCGAGAAAACGGAUCCGACAGUGAGGGACGAAAGCCAGGGUCUCCAACCGGAUUAGAAACCCCAGUAGUCC
rnacentral:rRNA from 1 species